rnacentral:ncRNA from 1 species
UUAAGCCGGAUGCGGGGAAACUCGCACGUCCGGUUCCUAGAGGGACAAGAUGGCAGUAAUGUCUCCUUGCUACUCGAC